AACGAACGCUGGCGGCGUGCCUAACACAUGCAAGUCGUGCGAGAAAGUUCCUUCGGGAGCGAGUAAAGCGGCGCACGGGUGAGUAACACGUAGGUAACCUGCCCCCCAGUCUGGAACAACUAGAGGAAACUCUAGCUAAUGCCGGAUGAGACCACGAUCCCUUCGGGGGUUGCGGCCAAAGAUGGCCUCUACUUGUAAGCUAUCGCUGAGGGAUGGGCCUGCGGGCCAUUAGCUUGUUGGUGAGGUAACGGCUCACCAAGGCUGUGAUGGCUAGCUGGUCUGAGAGGAUGACCAGCCACACUGGGACUGAGACACGGCCCAGACUCCUACGGGAGGCAGCAGUGGGGAAUAUUGCGCAAUGGGCGAAAGCCUGACGCAGCGACGCCGCGUGGGUGAUGAAGGCCUU
rnacentral:rRNA from 1 species